CACAUUUCUAACUCCAAAUUUGUUAUAUCUCUUCCUCAGUCUCCCAUUCUUUUUUAUAUCAUUUUCAUCAUUCUCCUAUUUUUUCCUUGGAUCUCUCUUUUUUUUUUUUUUUAUUGGUUUGUAAUAUUGUUAGAUCUCAUAUCUCAUAUGUUAAGAGAGAUUGCUAUUUGAUUUUGACAAAAUUGGACAUAUUUUAAAUUCUUAAACCAUACAUAUCAUGGCCUAUAGAUUCUGAAUCUCAUAUACUUGAGUUUUCCUCGAUCUAUAGAUGUUCUCAAAAUAAAAAGGGGUUUUAUAUAUUGUCCUUUUUGGACAAGUUUUAAACAAAACAAAAAAACAAGGGUUUUUCCUUUAAUUUUGUUUUUCGAGGAAAGGGUUUCACCUGGGUAGAUUCUCUCCUUUGUUCCCUCUUUUUAGUUUAUCUUUAGACAAAUUCCACAAGAAAUUGUCCUCUUUUCUCUGUGUAUAUUGUAGCUUUUUUUGUUCUUCUCUCUCAUGACAUUAACACUUUUUUGGAUGCAGCAAGGAACCAUAGUUGCAUGGACAGAUAGUCAGUCGUUAUUUGCAGAUGUAGCAUCAUCAAGAUUCACAUAUGAAAGUGCAAAUGGUUUUGUUGGAUUUUGAUCUGAUCGAUGCAAAUCUAAGUUCUCCAUAGGUCUUUUGAACUGAGAAUCUUGAUGAUGCUGCAUCAGCCAUAAACGACUUUUAAAUUGUUUGGAUUAGAUUAUAACUAACCUUAAUCAGAUUCAGAUAUUAUAUACUGUCAUAGAUCUGCCCAAUGUUUAAACAACACUUUUGUGUUGAUGUCAGGUUAUAAAGAAAUCAAGAAAUAGGCUUCCAUGGAGGCGAAGGAGUAGCAGCAAUUCUAGAUCUGCAAAGAAUAUCAUCAAAGCCUGCAAUUUUGUGGUUUAUCAAAAUAUAAUACAUCCAAAUCAAGUUACUUGAGCUCUAGUUGUAAAAAGCUCCUUCCAAAGACGUAUCCGAGGAAUAUCGGGUUCGAUUUUUAGGGGGAACAACGUUUAGCCAGUGCGCAUGCCUCUACGCACGAGUCAGACUAGUCGUCCACCUUUGGUGGGUCGGAAACCGGUGCGAAUGAAAAAAAAUAUAAUACAUCUGUUUCAAAAUAUAUAAUUUUGUUGAUCAAAUCACGGAAAUUUAGAAGAGAAUGCCUUAAUAUAGUCGUAUUAAGAUAAACCGUAUAUUUCCAUUUUAGUUAUAUAUGCUGAUUUCUUGUCAAAAAAAAAAGUAAUAUAUGUUGAUUUGGUAUUAUAAUAUACAUAAUACAUUAUGUACACAUUACAGGACAUAUACAACACUAGUUUAUUUUUUAUAGUGAUAUUGUUCCUAUUGGUUUGCAUCUCCAAAACAUACUAGCAGAUUAUUGAAAAUUGAAGCUAGUUUGGGAACUUCGAUAUAUCAAAACAACACUUACAUA